rnacentral:rRNA from 1 species
CAGCCGCCGCGGUAAUACGAAGGGUGCAAGCGUUGAUCGGAAUUACUGGGCGUAAAGCGUGCGUAGGCGGCUUUGCAAGACAGAUGUGAAAUCCCCGGGCUCAACCUGGGAACUGCAUUUGUGACUGCAAGGCUAGAGUGCGGCAGAGGGAGAUGGAAUUCCGCGUGUAGCAGUGAAACGCGUAGAUAUGCGGAGGAACACCGAUGGCGAAGGCAAUCUCCUGGGCCUGCACUGACGCUCAUGCACGAAAGCGUGGGGAGCAAACAGGAUUAGAUACCCCGGUAGUCCCUGUCUCUUAUAC